rnacentral:rRNA from 1 species
UACGUAGGGACCGAGCGUUGUCCGGAUUCAUUGGGCGUAAAGAGCUCGUAGGCGGCUGCUCAAGUCGAAUGUGAAAACUCGGGGCUUAACCCCGGGCCUGCAGUGGGUACGGGCAGACUAGAGUGCGGUAGGGGAGACUGGAAUUCCUGGUGUAGCGGUGAAAUGCGCAGAUAUCAGGAGGAACACCGGUGGCGAAGGCGGGUCUCUGGGCCGUAACUGACGCUGAGGAGCGAAAGCAUGGGGAGCGAACAGG